ACCCUAUAUUCCCACCGCAAAAGUCACUCUUUUCUUGCUUUCGCUUUCUCUCUCUCUCUCUCUCACUUAAAAAUGGAAAAUCCCGCCUAAAUGUUUUCAGUGUGCCUGGCUGGGAAAUCAAAACUAGGUUUUGCAAUUAGCUUUGGAUCGACCAACAGCUUUUGAUUAUUAAUCUCUCUCUGUGACUUUCCAUCCCGUCCCCCUCUCAAUCAAGUCUCCUUCUUCAGAAACAUAUAAAUGGUCUCUAUUUCUUUCAUUUAUAGGGAUCAUAUUUCGAUUUGCUUUAAUCCAAUUCUCUGUAUCUUUUUUUACAUAUCCCUGUAUGCAUCUUGUUGAUGAACUCUCUUCUGGUUUUGUUGACGAAAACAAACAGUUUGAUAGGAGCGUGAUAAUUAUCAGACCGCCUAAUACGGUUAGGAAGUUGAUUUUAUGGAAUUGAGAUGUUAGGUUUGAUAAUCAACAAAUUGAAUGGAGCUUGAUCGGAUGAUUCAGGCUAAUUUGCGGGCAGAGUUAGUGAUGGGUUUUAAAGGGUAAAUUUCCCCUAGCCGGAGAAUUGUUUCCCAGCCAACGACGCCAUACUGGUGACUAUGGCCAUACUGAUCAGAUUGAUAAACGAAGAAGGGCACCUCAGAUCUGUAUAUCAAUCUGCCGUCAACUUAGAUCUAGACCGUGUUCCCUUCAUUUCCAUAUUCAGUGAUCAAAGAAGGAUACCAAGAUAGCUUUGCGAGACCUUAUGCUGGUGCAAUACCCCAGAUUACCAUCCCCAGGUUUAAGCAACCUCAGCCACCACCAGCAACCACUACAAAAAAAAUGCGACAUCUGAGGUCACCCGACUCUCUUAGGUUGGCGAAGCUGUUGCGGGAGUAACUUGGAGUUGCGGAUAGUUGUACAUAGUAACAUAUACACCCUUCCUUUGUAACUUAUAUAAUACCGUUUUACCAUAAAAUUUAUAUUAUUACAUUACUUUUAUUCCUGCAAAUUGGAAAAAAAAACUUGGUUCUUUAUGUGGUACUUAAAGGUUAGUGGAGCACAAUGUCUUAGGACUUUUCCAAACAAAUUGGAUCCAACCAUGUUUUUUAAGGGUCUUGUUGUUUUGGUUCAUGAGUAAGCCGUAAAGAGCUAUGAUUGGUAAACUUUUUUUUUUUUUCUUUUUUCACUCUUUUGAAAGGUGGCAAGUUGAUGGGUAGUACCGGAUCAAUUUGACCAACACAAUGGACCCUUUUUAAAGAUGAUAUUGGCUCCAACACUAAGAAUUCUCACACCACGACUAUACAGGCAGGCGAGAUGCCGAGAUCUCAUCUUGCGCCAGCAUUGAAAGCUCAAAGAGCGCUCUUCUAUGUUGAGUAAAAUCUUGUUGAAAGUGGACGUUCGUUAUUAGAUCACACGUAUCAUUCUUAGAAAGUAUAUAACACGUAAGAUACACAUCGCGGUUUUUUUACAAUUUAUUACUUUUUGGACAUUGUUAAUAGAAUUAAGAACAAUAAAGGGUUGACCCUCUUACCAUUAAUUUAUUGUCACCACAAAGGAUGGGUAAGCAAAUA